rfam:Capsicum annuum cultivar Zunla-1 chromosome 2, whole genome shotgun sequence
UCAUGUGCCCCAUGUCUCCAAUAAAAUUGAAACAAUACAGUGAAGAUUGACAUAACCCCGCACAAGGAUAACACACAAAUAGAAUGACUAGUCAUGUUG